CUGGCUGCCCCGCUCCAGUGACCUCAGCCCGUUUCCCGACAUCUUUUUUUUCAGACAGCCCGAUGUCCUGCUUGACCACAAACGAAGCAGUGAGGGCAGCUAAUUUUUCCCUGUUGUACACAGUCAUUGCAUCGGCCCCUAGUCUCUCUUGUUGGUGCCUGAGGUCGGACUGCUGAUGGGCAGGUGUCCUUUGGUGUCGCACUGUCAGUAGGUUUACGCAUCUGGGCCAGAUGUUUGGUCAGUGAGGACACUUGUGCCGUCAGUUCUGUAACGAGCCCCUAAUUGUUACCGGCACCAGACCUCGUGGUGAUCUGGACCGGCACCAAAGGUUACAAGGGCUAGGAAGCACUGUGUAGCCUGUGGAUUAAUAUGGAGAGAGGGCACACGUUAGCGUCAUGCUCAAGCCACAGCUAGUUUUAUUCUGAGCUGCGCAUGAGCGGAGCCUGUAGCACCACAGCGCCCUCUACUGACGUGAUCGUGUAAUAUCUCAAUAUAACGUCUGAUAUUGAGUUGGGUUUAAUAACACUAACUUGUAGCAUUUCCAACCUACAACAUGUGUAUAUUUAGUGUUAAUGCUAAUGCUAUCCUAAUGUUGCUCUCUGUCUGCUGGAAUAAUAGGCAUGAGUUUGCAACAUUAGCCUCAUCAACUGCACUGGUGCAACAUGCCAGUAUUGUUUCUAUUGCUUCUCAAAGCACUGCAUGUUGUCCUACUACAAUACACUCAUUAAGCAUUAAAGAGAUCAGAUGUCAGUUCACGAGACAUGCAGAGGACACACAGAGAGAAAGAGAUUCCUUGCUUUAUAAUUAGAUGAAUCUUUGUGACCUAAUCCUGACACGUUUAACACGGUCAUAUCAUUUCUUUGUGAGCAUUGAGCUGUUGCUGCCCCUCUGCUGCCCCUCUGGACGUCAGGAUGUCGGCGAUGCACUGGGAGGCCAGGCGGCGCCAGAGCGCUCUGGACCGCAGGACGGCCAGAGACAGACAGCAGGUGCACCAUCUGUCACUGUCAG
ensembl:lncRNA